UACGUAGGGUGCAAGCGUUGUCCGGAAUUAUUGGGCGUAAAGAGCGUGUAGGCGGCCCGAUUAGUCCGCUGUGAAAGUCCAGGGCUCAACCCUGGAAUGCCGGUGGAUACUGUCGGGCUAGAGUCCGGAAGGGGCGAGUGGAAUUCCUGGUGUAGCGGUGAAAUGCGCAGAUAUCAGGAGGAACACCAAUGGCGAAGGCAGCUCGCUGGGACGGUACUGACGCUGAGGCGCGAAAGCUAGGGGAGCAAACGGG
rnacentral:rRNA from 1 species